AGCUUUGUACAGUGGCACUAUCAUAGCCAAUGAGGUUUAUCCGAGGCGUAAUUAUUGCUAAUUGAAAACUUUUCCCAAUACCCCGCCAUGACGACUUGAAAUACAGUCAGCAUAGGCAAUUUUUUUUUUAAGAUUUUAUUU